CUCAUGCCAUAUACGUACCAUAUUUGAACCACCUUCUCUGCAAGAGCCUGAUUACUGUCUCCUGAAGGCAUCUCAAGCACCUGUUUUGGACUCAUUCCCAAAAGAAGACCCACAGAGAUACAAAUAAGAAAUCUCAGCCACUGCUCUAUAGAUUAAGCAGAUCAAGAGCAAAGUGUGAUUAUGAUAAUAGAAGGAGAAGGAAGAGGAGGGAGAAGAAAGGAAAUGGAAGACGAAGAAACCAUGUUGGAGACACAAAAUAAUGUCACAGUACAUUAGCUACAGUGAAGUUGCAGAGGAGAACACAGACACGGGCCUUACUCUGAAGUGCUUCCCUCUGCUUAUCAUCAUCUUUUCCUCUAAUCUGGGCUGUUUGACCAAGUGUCUGCUGCUGUUGCCACUGUUCCAGAUUAAAAGAAUGCUUAUGGAUUUACCAGCUAAUAUUGAUGGCACAUACAAACAAGCAAGAAGUAAAUCCCAAGGACAUUUAGGGAAGAAGUUCCUAGAAGCAGGUUCUUUGAAGUGCUUGUUAAAUGUAAUUGUCAGGUCUUGAUUCCGCAUAUUCUGAUUCUAUAGCACCUACCUGUGUGUUAGAGCUUUUGACUAUGUAUUUUUAAUAAGCCCAAGGUGUUUCUGACAUCAAGAGUCUGUAGACUUCCUCUUGAUUGCUAAUUAAUUAUGAUUCAUGUUAGUAAGCAGGAACCAAGAAUUCUAAUUUAUAAACUCUAUAAUCCUCAAUUUAUCCAUAGAAAAAAAUAAGGUGAAUUGUCACUGCCAUGCCAUUUAUCAGAGGUGUGUGAUUAAUUAAAUGACAUGAAAAAAGCUAUGAAAUAUAUAAUCACCAUGUAUGUGUUGAGUUAAUGUUAAAUAAACUAGUAUCAAUAGAAGCUAUUACUACUGAUACACUUGUUAUUACUAAAAUGCAAAAAAUAAAAUUGUUUAUAUCAACUAUUCACUGUAGUGUUAAGAUAUUUAGGGUGCAAUAAUGUGCUUCAUCAGGGGGUGUGUUCUGAAUAUCAU